UACAGAGGUGGCAAGCGUUGUUCGGAAUUACUGGGCGUAAAGGGCGCGUAGGCGGCCUCUUUAGUCAGACGUGAAAUCCCCCGGCUUAACCUGGGAACUGCGUCUGAUACUGGGAGGCUAGAGUUCGGGAGAGGGAUGUAGAAUUCCAGGUGUAGCGGUGAAAUGCGUAGAUAUCUGGAGGAAUACCGGUGGCGAAGGCGGGUCUCUGGGCCGAUACUGACGCUGAGGAGCGAAAGCGUGGGGAGCAAACAGG
rnacentral:rRNA from 1 species